AGAGCUGGGCGGUGGCGGGCGCUGCUGAAGGAGUCUCCCUGAGCUCGAGGAGGUGGCGCAAUGGAGGGACUGGAAGAGAAUGGAGGUGUUGUCCAAGUUGGAGAAUUGUUACCUUGCAAGAUUUGUGGAAGAACAUUCUUUCCAGUAGCAUUAAAAAAGCACGGACCCAUUUGCCAGAAAACUGCAACUAAAAAACGGAAGACUUUUGAUUCAAGCAGACAGAGAGCCGAAGGAACUGAUAUUCCAACAGUAAAACCUCUCAAACCGAGGGUAACUAUAUAACCUUUUGAACAGUAUGAACCUUGGUGUUAUGUAUGUUGAAAAAUAUUAUAUUAUCUGUUACAUUAAGGUUAAGAAUAAACACAAUUAUCUGCUACAUUAAGAUUAAAGAAUAAAUACAAUUCUGUGUUAUAUGUUCAGUUUAGAAAUUAUCUGAAGCUUAUAAAACAAAUUUUAUUUUAAAAAAUAAGCUUUUAAACUUCAAAGAAGAGACCAAGGUGCUGUUUCAAACUCCAUCAAUUACAGUGAGAUUUUUAUAGCAUUGGAGAGCCAAUUGCUGUCCCACAUUUUUUUCAAGUCAUUAUUAAAAACUUUCGAUAUAACUUGUUUUGAUUUAUUACAUCUUCUACCAUUAUGAUAAUCUCUACAUCCAAAAAGUUAAGCAAUUAUUUACAGACAUUUUAGCAUAAUAGAUACUGCUUAUUUUGAUGUAUUGACUGCCAGGAUUUGUAAUCUAUAUUAUGUUUCUAAGGAAAAGUUUUAUCAGUUGUUCAGUGUCCACAUAUAGUUAUUGUCAGCUUAUUUUCUUUCUUGAAACCAAAGCAAUGAAUCUAUUGUGAUAAUCUCUCCUUAAUAUCUGUUAUAUAUUAUAGUAAUCCCUUGGUAUCUGUGGGAGAUUGGUUCCAGGGACCCGCCUCUGAUACCAGUAUCUGUGGAUACUCAAACUCCUUAUGGCAUAGUAUUUGCAUAUAACUUAUGC
rnacentral:sRNA from 1 species